GCGGGCGGCGGGCGGAAGGCAUCACUUUGUCCGGACUCUAAUUCAAAUUGUAUUCAUCCGAUCUUCACCAAACUUGGUCAGCAGUUGCAUCUAGUUGAUAUCUAGGCCAAGUUCGAAUAUGGGUCAUGCCGGGUCAAAAACUAGGUCAUAGGGUCAAUAAGUGCAUUUUCAAAGGGGCCACUUUGUCCGGACUCUAUUUCAAAUUGUAUUCAUCCGAUCUUCACCAAACUUGGUCAGCAGUUGCAUCUAGUUGAUAUAUAGGCCAAGUUCGAAUAUGGGUCAUGCCGGGUCAAAAACUAGGUCAUAGGGUCAAUUAGUGCAUUUUCAACGGCGCCACUUUGUCCGGACUCUAAUUCAAAUAGUUUUCAUCCGAUCUUCACCAAACUUGCUCAGAAGUUGAGUCUAGACAAUAUCUAGGCCAAGUUGGAAUAUGGGUCAUGCC